UGGCCGCCGCUUAUCAAUUCCUUUCAAAUCUAGUCAUCUUCUUGAAUCUCUUGUUGCCAUAAGUACAGAAGUUCUGGUGAUGUGAUUAUCAAAGUGAUCGGAGAUGAAGAUUCAAAGAAAUUUUCAAUACACUGGGGAAAUCAAAGUUGUACGAUUCAAAUGGAAUGUAAGUAGAAUUAUUAAAGUUUAUGUCUAUGAUGGAGUAUAUAGGAUAAAGAGCUUCAGGCGCCUUCAAAUGAGAUUUGGAUUAGCAGUGUUGUUACUGGAAAAUUUGGUGACAUACCCUGCUUUAAGAUCACAUGAUCUUACUCCAUUUCCAUCUGAUCGUAUCACAAGAUGAAAAGUGACCGUCACCCACAAAUAGUGAUGGGUCCCUAACCGAAACACUAUCAAUAACUUCAGUCCUCCAGCUCCCAAUAAACAAAUUCACUAUCAAUAACUUCAGUCCUCCAGCUCCCAAAUAAACAAAUGAGUACUUGGGACAUUUGUAAAGGUUAUUCAAUCCGAGAUAAUGGCAAUGCGAGCUUUGAGAAAUGUCAAUGAACGGAGAAGGAGAAGGAGAAGUGUUAGUGUGUUAGAUUGAUAAUAACUUGUUAAGAGUUGUGUGAG